AGGGAUCAUUACACAAUAACAAGGCGGGCUGGACACCCCCCGCUGGGCACUGCUUCACGGCGUGCGCGGCGGGGCCGGCCCUGCUGAAUUAUUCACCCGUGUCUUUUGCGUACUUCUUGUUUCCUGGGUGGGCUCGCCCGCCCUCAGGACCAACCACAAACCUUUUGCAAUAGCAAUCAGCGUCAGUAACAACGUAAUUAAUUACAACUUUCAACAACGGAUCUCUUGGUUCUGGCAUCGAUGAAGAACGCAGCGAAAUGCGAUACGUAGUGUGAAUUGCAGAAUUCAGUGAAUCAUCGAAUCUUUGAACGCACAUUGCGCCCUUUGGUAUUCCAAAGGGCAUGCCUGUUCGAGCGUCAUUUGUACCCUCAAGCUUUGCUUGGUGUUGGGCGUCUUUUGUCUCCAGUUCGCUGGAGACUCGCCUUAAAGUCAUUGGCAGCCGGCCUACUGGUUUCGGAGCGCAGCACAAGUCGCGCUCUUCGCCAGCCAAGGUCAGCGUCCAGCAAGCCUUUUUUUUCAACCUUUGACCUCGGAUCAGGUAGGGAUACCCGCUGAACUUAAGCAUAUCAAUAAGCGGGAGGAA
rnacentral:rRNA from 1 species